UAUUAUUUAAAUAUAAAUUUUCAUACUUAAGUAGUAAUAGUUAUGUUCUUGAAACUUAAAAAAUUUGGCGGUAUUUUAGUCUAUCCAGAGGAACCUGUUUUGUAAUCGAUAAUCCACGAUGGACCUUACUUAAAUUUGUAUUCAGUUUAUAUACCGUCGUUAUCAGAAUAUUUUAUAAGAAUAAUAAUAUUCAAUAAUUUUUAAAAAAAUUUAUAUCAGAUCAAGGUGUAGCUUAUAUUUAAGUAAUAAUGGGUUACAAUAAAAUUAUUUAAACGGAUAAAAUUAUGAAAAAAUUUUUGAAGGUGGAUUUGGCAGUAAAAUUAUAAAGAUAAAUAAUUUGAUUUUAGCUCUAAAAUAUGUACAUAUCGCCCGUCGCUCUUAUUAUUAAGGUAAGAUAAGUCGUAACAUAGUAGAUGUACUGGAAAGUGUAUCUAGAAUGA
rnacentral:rRNA from 1 species